rnacentral:lncRNA from 1 species
UUCUUCUUCCACUUGUCUUCACAGUUUGGUAGCAUUCUAGAAGCAGAGCCUACCUCCUAUCAGCAGGCUGCCUCUAUUCCUGCCUGGCAGGAGGCAAUGACCAAGGAAUUUGCAGCCUUGGAGGCCAAUCAUACCUGGUCAAUAGUUCACCUUUCCCCUGGUAAAAGACAUAUUUGUUGCAAAUGGGUCUAUAAGAUCAAAUAUAGGGCUGAUAGGUCUGUGGAAAGACAUAAGGCUAGGCUGGUUGUUAGGGGUGACACCCAAGUUGAGGGUGUAGACUUCACUAAGACUUUUUCUCCUGUUGUCAAGUUUUCAACUAUCAAAUCCCUCAUUGUUGUGGCUGUUAAACAAAAUUGGUCCCUCUUUCAACUUGAUGUGAAUAAUGCUCUUACAUGGUGACUUAGCUGAGGAAGUUUAUAUGAAAUUGCCUCCUGGACUGGAUGUUACCUGUUCUACCUCUUCUUCUCCUUUGGUCUGUUUGCUUCAGAAAUCUUUGUAUGGGUUAAGGCAGGCUUCCAGGCAGUGGUAUGCCAAGUUCUCCCAGGCCUUAUGUUCUUCUCUCAAUGACUAUUCUCUUUUUCUUAAGAAAUCUGGCUCUUCUACUAUCUUAUUGGCUGUCUAUUUUGAUGACAUUAUUCUCACUGGUAAUGAUUUGGAGGAAAUCACUGCUUUGAAGAGCUUUCUGGAUCAUGAGUUUAAAAUCAAGGAUUUGGGGGUACUCAACUACUUUUUUGGUAUUGAGGUCAGUUAUCAUUCUGCGAGCUUUCCGGAUCAUGAGUUUAAAAUAAAGGAUUUGGGGGUGCUCAACUACUUUCUUGGCAUUGAGGUCAGUUAUCACUCUGAUGGGCUCCUUCUCCACCAGAAAAAGUUUAUCACUGACCUGCUCAAAGCUUAUCACUGUGAGGAUGUUUCUCCUGUUACUUGCCCUCUUGACCUCUCUGUUAAACUCAAACUGGAUUUAGGGGAUCCUCUUCCCUCUCCUGAAUCCUAUAGGUGCUUAGUGAUGAAACUUAAUUUUCUCACCCACACUAGACCUGACUUAGCCUUUGUUGUCCAGCAUUUAAGUCAAUAUCUUUAGAAGCCUACCUCCUCACAUAUGCAUGCAGCUUUGCACACCCUGAGAUAUCUCAGAGGCACUUCUGACCUUGGCAUUUUUCUCAGCAACACACCUGACCUCUCCUUAUCUGCUUACUGCGAUAGUGACUGGGCAUCCUACCCAGACACCAGAAGAUCUGU